rnacentral:rRNA from 1 species
CGACGGGUAGCCGGCCUGAGAGGGCGACCGGCCACAUUAGGACUGAGAUACGGCCCAGACUCCUACGGGAGGCAGCAGUGGGGAAUAUUGCACAAUGGGCGCAAGCCUGAUGCAGCGACGCCGCGUGCGGGAUGACGGCCUUCGGGUUGUAAACCGCUUUUGACUGGGAGCAAGCCCUUCGGGGUGAGUGUACCUUUCGAAUAAGCACCGGCUAACUACGUGCCAGCAGCCGCGGUAAUACGUAGGGUGCAAGCGUUAUCCGGAAUUAUUGGGCGUAAAGGGCUCGUAGGCGGUUCGUCGCGUCCGGUGUGAAAGUCCAUCGCUUGACGGUGGAUCCGCGCCGGGUACGGGCGGGCUUGAGUGCGGUAGGGGAGACUGGAAUUCCCGGUGUAACGGUGGAAUGUGUAGAUAUCGGGAAGAACACCAAUGGCGAAGGCAGGUCUCUGGGCCGUCACUGACGCUGAGGAGCGAAAGCGUGGGGAGCGAACAGGAUUAGAUACCCUGGUAGUCCACGCCGUAAACGGUGGAUGCUGGAUGUGGGGACCAUUCCACGGUCUCCGUGUCGGAGCCAACGCGUUAAGCAUCCCGCCUGGGGAGUACGGCCGCAAGGCUAAAACUCAAAGAAAUUGACGGGGGCCCGCACAAGCGGCGGAGCAUGCGGAUUAAUUCGAUGCAACGCGAAGAACCUCACCUGGGCUUGACAUGUUCCCGACAGCCCCAGAGAUGGGGCCUCCCUUCGGGGCGGGUUCACAGGUGGUGCAUGGUCGUCGUCAGCUCGUGUCGUGAGAUGUUGGGUUAAGUCCCGCAACGAGCGCAACCCUCGCCCUGUGUUGCCAGCACGUCGUGGUGGGAACUCACGGGGGACCGCCGGGGUCAACUCGGAGGAAGGUGGGGAUGACGUCAGAUCAUCAUGCCCCUUACGUCCAGGGCUUCACGCAUGCUACAAUGGCCGGUACAACGGGAUGCGACCUCGUGAGGGGGAGCGGAUCCCUUAAAACCGGUCUCAGUUCGGAUUGGAGUCUGCAACCCGACUCCAUGAAGGCGGAGUCGCUAGUAAUCGCGGAUCAGCAACGCCGCGGUGAAUGCGUUCCCGGGCCUUGUACACACCGCCCGUCAAGUCAUGAAAGUGGGUAGCACCCGAAGCCGGUGGCCCAACCUUUUUGGGGGGAGCCGUCUAAGGUGAGACUCGUGAUUGGGACUAAGUCGUAACAAGGUAGCCGUACCGGAAGGUGCGGCUG